GAUGAACGCUGGCGGCGUGCUUAACACAUGCAAGUCGAGCGAAGCGCUUUGGUUAGAUUCUUCGGAUGAGGACCUUUGUGACUGAGCGGCGGACGGGUGAGUAACGCGUGGGUAACCUGCCUCAUACAGGGGGAUAACAGUUAGAAAUGACUGCUAAUACCGCAUAAGCCCACGGUGCCGCAUGGCACAGCGGGAAAAAGGAUUUAUUCGCUUCAGGAUGGACUCGCGUCCAAUUAGCUAGUGUGAGGUAACGGCCACCAAGGCGACGAUUGGUAGCCGGACUGAGAGGUUGAACGGCCACAUUGGGACUGAGACACGGGCCCAGACUCCUACGGGAGGCAGCAGUGGGGGAUAUUGCACAAUGGGGGAAACCCUGAUGCAGCGACGCCGCGUGGAGGAAGAAGGGUUUUCGGAUUGUAAAC
rnacentral:rRNA from 1 species